CCACAAACUGACUCUUUCAGACUUUCCACCAUCCUUAUGGGGACCUUAUCUGGUCCUCACAAAGAUAGCAUAGUAAACUGUUCACACAUACACACACGAUUUGGUUUUGCCGUUCUUGUAAGGACCUUUCAUUCACAAAAAAAAUUAACUAGGUGUAAAAAAUUGUAAAGGUGUAAAGACCACUAAUUGGUCCCCACAAACCGACCAUUUCAGAUUUUCCACCUUCCUUAUGGGGACCUUAUCUGGUCCUCACAAAGAUAGCAUAGCAAACUGUUCACACAUACACACACGUUUUGUUUUUGCUGUUCUUGUGAGGACCUUCCAUUCACACACAAAUACAACUGUAGCUAAUUCAUAAAACAUCUAAUAAAAGUUAAAAAAAAGUUAAAAAACUUGUGGGGACCAACAAAAGGUCCCCACAAACCGAUUUUCCACCAUCCUUAUGGGGACAUUUUUAUGGAAACAUCUAUCUGGUUCUCACAAAGGUAGCAAACUGUGCACACACACAUAAAGACACACACACAUAAAGACACACACACACACACACUUACUUACACAUCUCUCAGCAAUUUGCUCCAGCUUCUGCUUUUAUUUCCCUCCCAGAAGAGCACCGAUAUGAAGACCUCUUUCAGAACAGAGUGAGUGAAGUGGAACAGGUUUUUCAGGCCUCCUGACCAACAACUGCAGAUGAAGCAGAUAAAUAAACAAGUUUUCUCUGCUUCCAUGAAGAGACUGACGCCAGCGCCGCUGAUAACGAGCGUCUGAAGAAUUCACCAACACAUUUCAGAGCUUUUCGUGAGCAUCGCUUCGUUCUUUAUGUUCCUACAUCAAAACUUUACGACCUGCUGGCUGCAGAAUGGUGUGUGAGAAAUCAGUCGCCACCGGGAACUUCGUGUCAGCCCAGAGUGACAUCACAGUCUACCACAGCCUAUCACAGUCUACCAAUCAUCUAACAUCCAGUCCUCACCUGUGCUUAUAUAACGACUGUGCUCUGAAUCUGACUGUUCUGAAUGUUAUACCAUUUCUGCAGCUUAAUAAAUAAUAUAAAAU
rnacentral:lncRNA from 1 species